ensembl:lncRNA novel transcript
AUGCUAGACACUUCCUGACCUUUACGUCUGAUACAUUCUUUGAGAGAACUUCUCCACCGACCCCGUCACCUGGAUUGGAUCACCGACCUCUCCCAAGAGGGGCCUGGCUUCCUCCUCGCUGGGGAAACGGUAGGGAGCUCCCCUAGGUAAAGCCUCUAGGGAGAGUGGCCAGGAGCCGGGUCAGGAAAGGCUCUGGUGCCCAAAGGGCUGCCCGCAGAGGCUGAGGUCCCUGCAAGUGCACAGGGAGGAGAGGUGAGAUCAGAUUCCAGCCGAGUCAGGCUUCCAUGUCAGACUGCGUGUGUUUAUGCAGAGGUGCAACUCAGGAAUUACUGAGGAGAAAGUACAGGGCCAAUUUAACCUCCUCUGAGAGACCUCUAACCCUGCUCAUCACCACUCCUCGCUAAAAAGGGCCCUCUCCAGGGAAGAACCCAGAGGGAGAGCGGGAAUUCUCCUCCCCUUGGAGGAAGAGUGCUUCCUCUACCCUUAAUGUAUCAACUGACAACAAUUCAAACAGAAGGAAACUAGGAUGUGACAAAUAAAGGAAGCCUUUUCAUGCUCUAUGUCCACUGGCGUCGGGCAAGCCCCGGUGGAAGUCCAAGGAAAAGAGUCUAAGACCCAAACAGAUGGUUUGCGCCAAAGUUCUGAAGUGUAUCAGACGUGAAUAAAGGUAUGUUAAUUCUAAAAGGAACUAAAAUAGAAACAUGAUGUGGUUUAGACUCAGGUAUUAAAAAAUGAGCCAUCUCAGAAGUGGAGACCAACUGAAUAUCUUCCUGUAUAACUUCUUCUAUAACUCUUCCAUGCCUCUAUGUUUGGUUGACUUUCACCAGUUUUCCCAGUCUCCAAUGAACCUGAUUCUAUAGGCAGUUACUCUGUGUUCUUUUUGAUGGGAUUCUAAGAAGUGAAGAACAGCAUAGGAACCAAUUUGCUGUGUAAAAUCAGAGAGAGCUCGACUCACUGUGGGUCAGAAACAAAGGGAGACUCUCCAUUGAAAACAGGCUCCCUGAAAGCAGACAUCAGCUAUAAACUGGUUAGGAAUUUAUUAUGAAUUUCCUUUGCAUUCUGAAGCAGAAGGCUUAAAAUUAGGCUCUAAGUCGGAACCCACAGUACCAUUUCCCACAGUAUGACAAGUUUAUAUGGGCAACACAUAUACUUUAGAGUAAUUUGAUCGUCCCAGGCACUAUCUGGAGUGCUUUACACAUGUAGCUGCUUAGUCGUGGCCCCUCAUGGCCUGGCCCUCUGGGUUGGAAUGAUGAGUUGCCAGAGGGUGAAGUCACUUUUGGAUCAUCACGAACACUGAGAGUCGAAAGACAAUGCCAGAGGGUGACGUCACUUCCGGUUCAUCACGAACACAUGGAGAGUCGGAAGAUGACCCUGGGCUUGUCUUCACAUUUUCCGUGUUGUCACUUGCCGGUCCUUUGGAAGCCGACCCUAGAUGUACACUGUCUUGCCGGGACCUUUCUCUUCUCUUCCCCUGUGACCACGCAGGUCUUCGAUUCCCUGCCCCCUGCCCGAGGACCUGCCUCCUCCCUGCCCGAGGACCAAGCUUCAGAAGAACUGCACAUGGGAGGAAAUACCAACCGCUUAACUUCUUCAGAGACAACCUCUAACCCGGCUCACCACCACGCUAGCUAAAAAAGGGCCCUCUCCCAGGGAAGAUCCCGGAGGAAGAGUGGGAAUUCACCCUCCCCUUGGGGGAGGAGUGCUUUCUCUACCCUUAAUUUAUGAACUGAGAAAAAUCCUAACAAGCCUACUAUGAAAUAAAGAUGCCCUUAACCCAUUUAUGCCUAGUGUUCCAUUAUUGGAACGCUAAGCUUGUGGGAGUUAUUUAUAUCCUACUGCUCAAAACCAUUGCCAAGGUCUGAUUUUUCACACAAAAAAAUUUGCAACCUUCGGUAUAAAUGGGUUAAUUCCAAAGCCUAAAGCAACCUAAGACAUCUCAGUCCACAGUGAGCCCAGCCUCCAGCUGCAGGUGUUGGCUUCCACACAGCGCAGGACCAAGCAGUUUUGUGCUGAGUCCAUCUCUGUGGCCACCGGCCACCCGGUGCUGGGGCUGGUCCCCAGCUCAUCUGCACAGGGUUGGUGGAAGGGGCCAGAGGCAGCCUGGGCUCUGAAUUCCACCCAGACCUGGGGAAUAGGCCUGGUAGGGGAGUGAAUGCCAGGGCCGCUGGUGGCCUUGGCUCUUCUGCACGGCAGCAACUGUGGUGGCCUGAGAAUAAGGAGUUACCAUAAGGACGUAGAGGUAGAUCACCAGAGCCGCAUCCACACCCAGAGAUAGACUCACACAUCUGUGGUGUGUUCAUUUCAACAAAGGUGCAGAGAAAAUUCCAUGGAGGAAAAACAAUAGCCUAUCAACAAAUGGUGUUAGAACGAUUGGAUAUCUCACGCAAAAAAUUAACUUUUAUCUGUAUCUCAUGUUAUGUAAAAAUGGAACCAAAAUAGAUUAUAAACAUAAUGUAGAAUAUAAAAGAAAUUAUGGUAAAAAUCAUAGGAAAAAAAUCUGUGCGACCUUAGUUAGGCAAAGAUAUUUUAAAUUUGACAGCAAAAGUACAAUCCAUAAAAGAAAAGAAACUGAUAAAUUGGACAUACUCAAAGUGAAGCACAUAUGCUAGUCAGAAGACACUACUGUUAAGAGAAUAAAAAAUAUAAGCCACAGAUCUGGAGAAAACAUUUGCAAACCAUAUAUCUGAAAAAAAUGGCUUGUACUUCACAUCUAAAAAGACUCAAAAGUCAAUAAUAGGAAAGAAGAGACAAUUUAAAAUGGGCAAAAUAGUUAAAAAGACAGAUCAGCCAAGAAGAUAUAUGGAUGAAAAUUAAACACAUUAAAUACAUCCGAUGUCAAUAACCCUGCUCCCUACCGGUUAGACAGCUGAUGUCAGAAAGGCCGACCCCAUCGCGCGUGCGCGAGCACAAGUGGGCAGGAACAGGAAAUGCCACGAGGACGCUGAAUCAAACCUGCCUACGUGAAGGGCUGAAGACGCGACAUUUCCUGACAGAGGUUGCUAUGUCUAGCAGCAUGAGCCUCUCCAUGAAGGCAUGAGGGGAGAAGACCUCUUCUCUACCUUGUCCCAGGUCUUCCAGGAUUGGUGUCUCCUUUGAGAAGCAGGACUGCUUUUAUAAGUAAGAAAAAUAUUGGUUCUUCAUUUUCAAAAUAACGUCUCAGCUACGUGUCCAAGUGUGUCACAUUGCAACAACUGCCCAGCUGUGGGGCUGGUCUUGGGGAGCAGAGGGGACUGAGGGGCCUGCCUCAUUACGAGCUGCACAGGAGGGCUGAGCUUGCAUUAGCAGCUUCUCCCUCCAGUGCAGGAGAACGCAUUAAGAUUUACGGUUCAUCUGAAAGUAGCUUAGAAAGAAACCAUAUGCUCUUAUCAUCUCUUGCAGAAGUUGCAGACAAGUUAUUUAAAAAUCUCGUUUUCUUAAACUGUCUUUAUUGCAAAGAAAAGAGCCUCUGGGAUCCACUUCAAGUAGUCAUUGUGGAGGGUACAGCAAGCCAGCCCUGGGCUAAGCAUUUACCCCACUAAUUCACCACCACAGCAAGGUGGAGAUCCUUGAGUUUUUGCCUGUGUUUCACAAAUGAGGAAUCCGAGGAGCAGAGACCUGAAGUGACCUGUCCAGGACACAAGAGUGAACCCGGGGACAAAGCCAACCCGCUCUGCUGGGGCUAGUGCCUUUCCACACUCCUCUGUUUCUAUAUUUAAACCGAGUGAAAGGAGACAUGGAAAAUACAUUAGCCCAUUUGGAGGUGAAUUUGAUACACUCUCAUUUGUCAUAGAGGGUAGAAAAAGAUGGAAAAGAGAAACGGGCUGGUGGGGAGGAGGGAAGAGCAGAGACCAGGGCCUCAGCCCAACCUCCAUCCGCUUCCCACUUUCUCUCCCUGUCCCUUUCCUGGAGGCCUUGCUUGCUCCUCACAAAGCUGUCAUUCUUAUGCCUUGCAUGAAUUUGGGUAUUUUAACUUGUCUAUUAAAAAUAUAAAUCUG